ACGCUGGCGGCGUGCUUACACAUGCAAGUCGAACGAGAAAUCUUUAGCUCGCUAGAGAAAGUAAAGUGGCGCACGGGUGAGUAACGCGUGGGUAAUCUGCCUCCGAAUCGGGGAUAACAUUGCGAAAGCGAUGCUAAUACCGGAUAAAAUCUGGUUGGCUUCGGUGAACCGGAUCAAAGGUGGUCUCUUUAUAAAAGCUACCGUUUGGAGAUGAGCUCGCGUACCAUUAGCUAGUUGGUGAGGUAAAGGCUCACCAAGGCGACGAUGGUUAGCUGGUCUGAGAGGAUGAUCAGCCACACCGGAACUGGAACACGGUCCGGACUCCUACGGGAGGCAGCAGUGAGGAAUUUUGCGCAAUGGGGGAAACCCUGACGCAGCAACGCCGCGUGAGUGAUGAAGGCUUUCGGGUCGUAAAGCUCUGUCAGGUGGGAAGAACCCACCAAGUGUUAAGACCACUUGGUGCUGACGGUACCACCGAAGGAAGCACCGGCUAACUCCGUGCCAGCAGCCGCGGUAAUACGGGGGGUGCGAGCGUUAUUCGGAAUCAUUGGGCGUAAAGGGCGCGCAGGCGGUUUUGUAAGUCAGAUGUGAAAUCCCGGGGCUUAACCCCGGAAGUGCAUAUGAAACUAUGAGACUUGAGUAUGGGAGAGGGAAGCGGAAUUCCUGGUGUAGCGGUGAAAUGCGUAGAUCUCAGGAGGAACACCGGUGGCGAAGGCGGCUUCCUGGACCAAUACUGACGCUGAGGCGCGAAGGCGUGGGGAGCGAACAGGAUUAGAUACCCUGGUAGUCCACGCAGUAAACGUUGAUCACUAGGUGUAGCGGGUAUUGACCCCUGCUGUGCCGGAGUUAACGCAUUAAGUGAU
rnacentral:rRNA from 1 species